CCUACGGGUGGCAGCAGUGGGGAAUAUUGCACAAUGGGCGCAAGCCUGAUGCAGCCAUGCCGCGUGUGUGAAGAAGGCCUUCGGGUUGUAAAGCACUUUCAGCGGGGAGGAAGGCGGUGAGGUUAAUAACCUCAUCGAUUGACGUUACCCGCAGAAGAAGCACCGGCUAACUCCGUGCCAGCAGCCGCGGUAAUACGGAGGGUGCAAGCGUUAAUCGGAAUUACUGGGCGUAAAGCGCACGCAGGCGGUCUGUCAAGUCGGAUGUGAAAUCCCCGGGCUCAACCUGGGAACUGCAUUCGAAACUGGCAGGCUAGAGUCUUGUAGAGGGGGGUAGAAUUCCAGGUGUAGCGGUGAAAUGCGUAGAGAUCUGGAGGAAUACCGGUGGCGAAGGCGGCCCCCUGGACAAAGACUGACGCUCAGGUGCGAAAGCGUGGGGAGCAAACAGGAUUAGAUACCCCUAGUAGUC
rnacentral:rRNA from 1 species